rnacentral:rRNA from 1 species
UACGUAGGGUGCAAGCGUUUAAUCGGAAUUACUGGGCGUAAAGCGUGCGCAGGCGGUGAUGUAAGACAGAUGUGAAAUCCCCGGGCUUAACCUGGGAAUUGCAUUUGUGACUGUACGGCUAGAGUGUGUCAGAGGGGGGUAGAAUUCCACGUGUAGCAGUGAAAUGCGUAGAGAUGUGGAGGAAUACCGAUGGCGAAGGCAGCCCCCUGGGAUAACACUGACGCUCAUGCACGAAAGCGUGGGGAGCAAACAGG